ensembl:lncRNA
CAAGCAACCUGCCUGUUAGCCCAUUAGUUAGGAAAAAACACAGCAUACAUAGGGUUCAACACUCUCCGAGGUUCCAGACAUCUCCUGGGGGUCUUAGAAUGCAUCACUCAUGGGAUGUGGGCCGCCAGCAUGGCUGCACACAGAGCAGUACAGGUCCACGUCCAGGGAACGGAACCCAGGCCCUUGAAGCAGACCAUGCUGAACUUAACCAGUAGGCCAGCAGGGUUGGCCCAUUAUUCUUUUUUCAAGUUACAACUGAAUGGACAUUCAUUGACCAAUGGAGGAUACCCACAUAUCACAUCAGGACACCUGAGAGACCCACACAGCUAUACAUCUGAAGGUGGAUGGACUAGCUCCCUGGGAAGUGGUGGAGAUAGCAACAGAGAGGUCUUCGUGCCAAAGAGAGGAACAUACCCACCGGGGAACACAACAAAGAUUCAACUGAAGUGAAUGUUGAGAAUCCCACCUAGCCACUUUUUGCUCAUCCUGCUUCUGAAUCAACAGCCAAAGAAAGGGAUUAUGUACUGGCUGAGGAUAACGCUGCCCUCACAGAAUGAAUUAGGAAGUAUCCCUCUACUUCUAACUUCAGGAGGAGAUUGUGGAGAUUUGGUAUAAUUUCUUCCUUAAAUUUUUGCUUCAAUUUACCAGUAAAGUCAUCUGGGCAUGAUGCUUUCUAUUUUAGAAGGGGGGGUGAAGAAGACUGGCCCUGAGCUCACAUCUGUUGCCAAUCUGCCUCUUUUUGCUUAAGGAAGAUUGUCGGUGACCUAACAUCUGUGCCAAUCUUCCUCUAUUUUGUAUGUGGGAUGCUGCCAUGGCAUGGCCUGGUGACUAGUGUGCAGGUCCAUGCCCGGGAUUCAGAUCCACAAACCCUGGGCCACCAAAGCGGAGUGCAGGAACUUAACCACUAUGCCACUGGGCUGGCCCCAAUAAUAUGUUAAUCUUAUUGUUUGAAAUAUUGUGUGAUAAUCUCUAUCUAACACUGUCUACUUAAAUAAUCACAAAAUUGUUUUUCCUUUAUUCAUAGAUUUUCAAAUGCUAAUUUUCCAUUCCUUUGUAAUCACUGUAACCAGAACUUUAUGCAAUUUUUUCUUGACCUUGCUUCUACCCUUGCCACCUCACAAUCUAUUCAUUCCUUAUUCGGAAACCAGAGUGUCCUUUUUUCUCACCUUGCCUUGACUAGCUUCACCUCUUUCUUUCUCGAUAACUUACAUUAAAGGUAAACUGGGCUAUUAGAAUGUAAUGCAGAUUUUGAUUACAUUCUCCACAAUACUCCAAAGGCAAUAAGUGUAUAAAUUUAACUUAAUGCUUAUAUAUGUUAUAACAUAAAUACAAAUGUAUAUUCACAAAUCUGAAACGCAUAAGCAGAAGUAAUUUUUUCAAAGGAAAUGCCCCAGCCAUUUUCAAAACUGAAAGAAACAUUGUAAAAUAUUAUGUGGAUCAACUUAAUAUAUCAUGGAACAGAAAAUUAUUAUAAAUCACAAGGACUUCAAGAAUCUAAAGUUAAAUUUUUUGCAAAAUGUUUAGCAAUAUCUAUGUGAUAUGUAUCUUCAGUGUUGUGCUUCUAUUUUACAUUUAUGAGGGACUUUUGAAUAUUAGUUUCUGAGUGUAUGAAACAGUGCUUUAGGAGGUAUUCUUUUUCAAAUUCACAUUAUUGUUAGGCUGAAAUAUGUCUUACUUCAUUGGCAUGUACUCGUUUUGGGGCAAAGAAAAUUCAUAUUUCCAUUGACUAUGUGUGCUGCUCUAAAAUUUGAUAUUUUUUUCAUUUUUCAUUAUGAUUUAUCAAAUUUGGGAAAGAAGAGUCUGGUUCUUUAGUGAUUUAUAUUAGCAUGCUCCUUUUGGAGGAUAUGAAAGAUGCAUGUAGAAUGAUUGUAUCAACUCAGCAAACAAAAUUACCUUGUAGACCAUGACAUUGUGUACAGGAAAACAUCUAAUAUUUACCAUGUGGACUAAAGUGAAACUAUAAUUAACAUAUCUCUGAUAACCAGAUAUUAAAGGACGACAAAGGCAAAUAAAAUAAAUAAUAUGGUUACAAAGGACAAUUGAUAGUAUCACUUCAUUACAAAUUAUGAGGAUGUGCUUUUUUUUAAUGGACAUGGGAAAAGUUGUUACAUUAGGAUAUUGAUCAAAUAAACAUGUGGUUGAUUUCAUUAAACAGCAAAGUAGAGGAACUACACUCUGAUGUAAUGUGUCUGACUGCAAUGGGACGGUAUGGAUUUUCAGAAAGGCUUCUUGAUUAGUUUGAUUAAUUUACACACAGCAUAUUUUAGUUCCUCCUGGAUUUGUGUAAUAUCUGCACAAAGUGCUUUUUAUAAUAAACUUCUAAAAAUAAAUGAAUCAUAUUUUGUCAUAUUGUGAACUGUUAUGGGAUAUUCAUCUACCAUUUCUCU